rnacentral:rRNA from 1 species
CCUACGGGUGACAGCAGUGAGGAAUAUUGGUCAAUGGGCUUACGCCUGAACCAGCCAAGUCGCGUGAGGGAAGACUGCCCUAUGGGUUGUAAACCUCUUUUGUCAGGGAGCAAUUGGCGCUACGUGUAGCGUUAUCGAGAGUACCUGAAGAAAAAGCAUCGGCUAACUCCGUGCCAGCAGCCGCGGUAAUACGGAGGAUGCGAGCGUUAUCCGGAUUUAUUGGGUUUAAAGGGUGCGUAGGCGGAAUGCCAAGUCAGCGGUAAAAUCGCGGGGCUCAACCUCGCUCCGCCAUUGAAACUGGCGGUCUUGAGUGGGCGAGAGGUAUGCGGAAUGCGUGGUGUAGCGGUGAAAUGCAUAGAUAUCACGCAGAACUCCGAUUGCGAAGGCAGCAUACCGGCGCCCAACUGACGCUGAAGCACGAAAGCGUGGGUAUCGAACAGGAUUAGAUACCCCUGUAGUC